rnacentral:rRNA from 1 species
UACGGAGGGUGCAAGCGUUGUUCGGAAUUACUGGGCGUAAAGGGCCAGUAGGCGGCCAACUAAGUCACACGUGAAAUCCCCGGGCUUAACCCGGGAACUGCGUGUGAUACUGGAUGGCUUGAAUUCGGGAGAGGGAUGCAGAAUUCCAGGUGUAGCGGUGAAAUGCGUAGAUAUCUGGAGGAAUACCGGUGGCGAAGGCGGCAUCCUGGACCGACAUUGACGCUGAACGGCGAAAGCUAGGGGAGCAAACGGG